rnacentral:rRNA from 1 species
AACGAACGCUGGUGGCGUGCCUAACACAUGCAAGUCGUGCGAGAAAGUUCCUUCGGGAGCGAGUAAAGCGGCGCACGGGUGAGUAACACGUAGGUAACCUGCCCCCCAGUCUGGAACAACUAGAGGAAACUCUAGCUAAUGCCGGAUGAGACCACGAUCCCUUCGGGGGUUGCGGCCAAAGAUGGCCUCUACUUGUAAGCUAUCGCUGAGGGAUGGGCCUGCGGGCCAUUAGCUUGUUGGUGAGGUAACGGCUCACCAAGGCUGUGAUGGCUAGCUGGUCUGAGAGGAUGACCAGCCACACUGGGACUGAGACACGGCCCAGACUCCUACGGGAGGCAGUAGUGGGGAAUAUUGCGCAAUGGGCGAAAGCCUGACGCAGCGACGCCGCGUGGGUGAUGAAGGCCU